rnacentral:rRNA from 1 species
AGCAGCCGCGGUAAUUCCAGCUCCAAUAGCGUAUAUUAAAGUUGUUGCAGUUAAAAAGCUCGUAGUUGAAUUUCGGGACCAAUUUGUUGGUCGUGCCUCGGUACGUACUGGUAUUAUUGGUUUCCCCCUUCUGAAGAACCUCGAUGCCAUUAAUUUGGUGUCGUGGGGAAUCAGGACUGUUACUUUGAAAAAAUUAGAGUGUUUAAAGCAAGCAUACGCUUGAAUACAUUAGCAUGGAAUAAUGAAAUAGGACGUUUGAUUCUAUUUUGUUGGUUUCUAGGAUCGACGUAAUGAUUAAUAGGGAUAGUUGGGGGCACUAGUAUUCAAUUGUCAGAGGUGAAAUUCUUGGAUUUAUUGAAGACUAACUACUGCGAAAGCAUUUGCCAAGGAUGUUUUCAUUAAUCAAGAACGAAAGUUAGGGGAUCGAAGACGAUCAGAUACCGUCGUAGUCUUAACCAUAAACUAUGCCGACUAGGGAUCGGAUGAUGUUAAUUUUUAAUGACUCAUUCGGCGCCUUACG